UACGGAGGGUGCAAGCGUUAUCCGGAUUCACUGGGUUUAAAGGGUGCGUAGGCGGGCAGGUAAGUCAGUGGUGAAAUCUCCGAGCUUAACUCAGAAACUGCCGUUGAUACUAUUUGUCUUGAAUAUUGUGGAGGUAAGCGGAAUAUGUCAUGUAGCGGUGAAAUGCUUAGAUAUGACAUAGAACACCAAUUGCGAAGGCAGCUUACUACACAACGAUUGACGCUGAGGCACGAAAGCGUGGGGAUCAAACAGG
rnacentral:rRNA from 1 species